UCGGCUCUGUCGUGCGCGUCAGGCGGCUUCAUUCGGGAACCGAAUAAUUUUUCGCCGGGGCUCAUAAGUCGCGCUUCGCGGCACGCCGUCUCGCACGGAUUCCCGCGAACUCGCGCGCGCAGCACCCACCUUGCUUUACGUGGUUUACCUAAAGCACCCGCCGACGGCACGAUGGAGUUCUU
rnacentral:other from 1 species